rnacentral:rRNA from 1 species
UACGGAGGGUGCGAGCGUUGUCCGGAAUCACUGGGCGUAAAGGGCGCGUAGGUGGCGUCGCAAGUCAACGGUGAAAGCUCGACGCUCAACGUCGAGUCGGCCGUCGAGACUGCGAGGCUUGAGCACUGUAGAGGCAGAUGGAAUUCCGGGGUGUAGCGGUGGAAUGCGUAGAGAUCCGGAAGAACACCGGUGGCGAAGGCGGUCUGCUGGGCAGUUGCUGACACUGAGGCGCGACACGGUGGGGAGCAAACAGGG